rnacentral:rRNA from 1 species
UACAGAGGUGGCAAACGUUGUCCGGAUUUAUUGGGUGUAAAGGGCAUGUAGGUGGUUCUAUAAGUCAAAGGUGAAAUGGCCCGGCUCAACCAGGUCAUUGCCUUUGAAACUGCAGAACUUGAGUACGGAAGAGGAAAGCGGAAUUCCCAGUGUAGCGGUGAAAUGCGUAGAUAUCAGGAGGAACACCGGUGGCGAAGGCGGCUAUCUGGACAGAGUCUGACGCUGAGGCGCGAAAGCUAGGGGAGCAAACAGG